GGAAAAAGCUAGAUUUAUGCCGUGCAGAUUCUGACAUUGUGGUCAGUUUAAUGACAGCUUUGGAAGGCAUGGUAAAAAGCGAGCCCCAGGAGCUGUGCUGGUGACUCGUAUCACCAUGGCCAUUGGCAGGAUCGUUCUGCCAGUAUGGAACGCAGACAUAGGAGCCCCAUCACGGGCUGGGAGCUGAGGAAACGGAGUGAUUAAUAGCUGAUUGAGAGUCACGGCCCACACAUCACCCCAGGCAGUUUACAAGAGCGCUAAUAUACAAGAAUACAGUUUAUACACAAUUCCAGGCUUCCAGAAAUGUCUCUACAGGAAACAUAAUACGUGUCAAACCCUUCCUCUCUAUAUUUACAUCAUCUCACUGUAAGAAAAUAAACAGUAAAUCAUGCACGGCACUGUAAUCCACACGUGGCCCAAUUAUACACAAUAUGGCGGUUACCCUGCCUGCCACAAUGGUGCAUACGGAGCUCUCUGCCCAGUGCUCUGCAGGGUAACACAGUGCGUUCAGCAUCACCGAGAAAUCUGCCAACA